rnacentral:rRNA from 1 species
CAGCAGCCGCGGUAAUACGUAGGGKGCGAGCGUUGUCCGGAAUUACUGGGCGUAAAGAGCUCGUAGGUGGUUUGUCGCGUCGUUUGUGUAAGCCCGCAGCUUAACUGCGGGACUGCAGGCGAUACGGGCAUAACUUGAGUGCUGUAGGGGAGACUGGAAUUCCUGGUGUAGCGGUGGAAUGCGCAGAUAUCAGGAGGAACACCGAUGGCGAAGGCAGGUCUCUGGGCAGUAACUGACGCUGAGGAGCGAAAGCAUGGGUAGCGAACAGGAUUAGAUACCCUGGUAGUCCAUGCCGUAAACGGUGGGCGCUAGGUGUGAGUCCCUUCCACGGGGUUCGUGCCGUAGCUAACGCAUUAAGCGCCCCGCCUGGGGAGUACGGCCGCAAGGCUAAAACUCAAAGGAAUUGACGGGGGCCCGCACAAGCGGCGGAGCAUGUGGAUUAAUUCGAUGCAACGCGAAGAACCUUACCUGGGCUUGACAUACACCAGACCGSKSCAGAGAUGKUSUUUCCCUUUGUGGUUGGUGUACAGGUGGUGCAUGGUUGUCGUCAGCUCGUGUCGUGAGAUGUUGGGUUAAGUCCCGCAACGAGCGCAACCCUUGUCUUAUGUUGCCAGCACGUKAUGGUGGGGACUCRUGARAGACUGCCGGGGUUAACUCGGAGGAAGGUGGGGAUGACGUCAAAUCAUCAUGCCCCUUAUGUCCAGGGCUUCACACAUGCUACAAUGGUCGGUACAACGCGUCUGCGAGCCUGUGAGGGUGAGCUAAUCGCUG